AUUGAACGCUGGCGGCAUGCUUUACACAUGCAAGUCGAACGGCAGCGCGGGCUUCGGCCUGGCGGCGAGUGGCGAACGGGUGAGUAAUGCAUCGGAACGCGCCCAGUAGUGGGGGAUAGCCCGGCGAAAGCCGGAUUAAUACCGCAUACGACCUGAGGGUGAAAGCGGGGGACCGAAAGGCCUCGCGCUAUUGGAGCGGCCGAUGUCGGAUUAGCUAGUUGGUGGGGUAAAGGCUUACCAAGGCGACGAUCCGUAGCUGGUCUGAGAGGACGACCAGCCACACUGGGACUGAGACACGGCCCAGACUCCUACGGGAGGCAGCAGUGGGGAAUUUUGGACAAUGGGGGCAACCCUGAUCCAGCCAUGCCGCGUGCGGGAAGAAGGCCUUCGGGUUGUAAACCGCUUUUGUUCGGGAAGAAAUCCUCUGGGCUAAUACCCCGGGGGGAUGACGGUACCGGAAGAAUAAGCACCGGCUAACUACGU
rnacentral:rRNA from 1 species